rnacentral:misc_RNA from 1 species
GUACCUGGUCGUUGAGAUUCGGAAACGGAAGUGAGGAAAGACAUAAGUCCAGCUCUGCCGAAGAAUUUGGCGACGAAGACAGUGGCAUUGGCUUGAGCAUGAGAGCUUUCAAUGCCUUGUAAACUUUGUCUGAGUAUGCAAUUCUCAUUGCAACCUUUCCUGAGAAUUCGACAGCCGUUGCAACUCAUGAUGAGAAAACGUAAACGUAAACGUAAAAUUCUUU